rnacentral:tRNA from 1 species
GCCUUCGUGGUGUAAUGGUUAGCACACUCGGCGCGUAUUCGAGAGGUCCGAGGUUCGAGUCCCGGCUAAGGUA